GAAAAAACAAGUAGAAGAGUUGAAAGGGAAGGAAACUUGUUUGACCAGCUGAAAUUCAAAAGGGUGUUUGCCUCGAGUGAAUGAGCAAGUUAUGUUUACAACCAGUCACGUGAUCGCUUCUUGUCAGCUGCAAUCUAGAUACAGCUGGGAAGCAACGGUGGCCUGUGUGUGUGUGUGUGUGUGUGUGUGUACACCCUAACCAGCGUACGUGGCAGGGAACCUGUGCCGUAUAUUCAGCAAGGAUCUGGAUAUUGUUGGCGAGUCCAUGACCUAUGCUGCCAAGAAGGACAUAGAAACAUAGAAAAUAGGUGCAGGAGUAGGCCAUUCGGCCCUUCGAACCAACACCGCCAUUCAACAUGAUCAAGGCUGAUCCUCCAAAAUCGGAACCAAGAGCAGAAGGUGUAUAGAAACAUCAACAGCACCAGGGGUGCAGACCAUCUUGCGGGUCUUUUAUUGUUGCUGGGUCUAAAUCCUGGAGCCCCCACCCCAAACUACACUGUGGGCAUCGGUCGGGUGGUGCUAGACUUGGUCUACUCGCUGUCCACAGGCGCCCCCUGGUGGAUUUCCGGGACCGCUGGGCACCGCGGGGGAUGGAAUCUAUCCUGAAUAAGGAUGGGGAAAUAGUUGUUUAAGAGUGUAACAUUUAGGAAUAUAUGUUUAGAUUUUGUAUUACGGUGGUGGGUUUGCUAUUUGGUAACAAUGUUUGGUGUUGUUUUGUAUUGUGUAUAUUAUUCUUGCAAUAAUUGAGUACAUUUAUUUUUGAGUACAAUAAAUUUAUUGAUUACAA